GACUCUCACGUGACCAGGAGUCGACGUGUGCAGAAGUCCUUAUAGUCCAGGGCCUGUUUCCCUGUAGCAGCUCCUUAUUGCUGGAGAAGGAGAAAAGUGCCCAAGAUCCUUUCAGGAUAUUUGGUUUUUUGGGCGCGACACAAAUCGAGGUGAGGGAAGAGAGAGGAAAAUCCCCUGAAUCCCUGCAGGAUUAAUUUAUUCAAAAAGGAAAUAAAAAAUACUCAAUAUGCAAAAGUCUUGUGAAGAAAAUGAGGGAAAACCACAGAACAUGCCAAAGGCCGAGGAAGAUCGCCCUUUGGAGGAUGUACCACAGGAGGACACACCCGUUAGGCAUUUGGACCCUGAAGAAAUGAUAAGAGGAGUAGAUGAGCUUGAAAGGCUUAGGGAAGAGAUAAGAAGAGUAAGAAACAAGUUUGUGAUGAUGCAUUGGAAGCAAAGACAUUCACGCA
rnacentral:lncRNA from 1 species